rnacentral:rRNA from 1 species
GUCUUUUUGAAAAUAAUUUAAAGUCUAAUCUGCCCCCUGAUAAAUUAUUAAAGGGCUGCAGUAUUUUGACUGUACAAAGGUAGCAUAAUCAUUAGUCUCUUAAUUGGUGACUUGUAUGAAAGAUUGGAUGAAAUAUAAACUGUCUCUAAAUAAUUUGUAAAAUUUAAUUUUUUAGUUAAAAAGCUAAAAUAUAAUUAAAAGACGAGAAGACCCUAUAGAGUUUUAUAAUUUAAUUAAUUAUUUUUAAUAUGUAAAUUUUAAAUUUAAAAUUAAUUAAAUUAUUUUGUUGGGGUGAUAGAAAAAUUAAAUUAACUUUUUUUUAUAUUUAACAUUAAUAUAUGAUUAUAUGAUCCAUUUUUAGUGAUUAAAAGAAAAAAUUACCUUAGGGAUAACAGCGUAAUUUUUUUUUUUAGUUCAAAUAGGAAAAAAAGUUUGCGACCUCGAUGUUGGAUUAAGAUAAAAUUUAAAUGCAAAAGUUUAAAAUUUUGAUCUGUUCGAUCAUUAAAA